rnacentral:rRNA from 1 species
CCUACGGGAGGCAGCAGUGGGGAAUAUUGCACAAUGGGGGAAACCCUGAUGCAGCGACGCCGCGUGAGUGAAGAAGUAAUUCGUUAUGUAAAGCUCUAUCAGCAGGGAAGAAAAUGACGGUACCUGAGUAAGAAGCCCCGUCUAAAAACGUGCCAGCAGCCGUGGGAAUACGUAGGGGGCAAGCGUUAUCCGGAUUUACUGGGUGUAAAGGGGGCGUAGACGGCUGUGCAAGUCUGAAGUGAAAGCCCAGGGCUCAACCCUGGGACUGCUUUGGAAACUGUGGAGCUAUAGUGCUGGAGAGGUAAGUGGAAUUCCUAGGGGAGCGGUGGAAUGCGUAGAUAUUAGGAGGAACACCAGUGGCGAAGGCGGCUUACUGGACAGUAACUGACGUUGAGGCUCGAAAGCGUGGGGAGCAAACAGGAUUAGAUACCCUAGUAGGUC